rnacentral:lncRNA from 1 species
GCUUUAGCUCCUUUUGAUAUGAAAAGGUGUCUUAAAAUAUCAACUUCACAAUUCUGUCCAUUAAUAAUGUAGAAGCUUGCUUCAAUUCAAAAUAUUUAAAUAAAUGUCUGAAUGCAGUUUUAAAAGAUGAAUUGAAAUUACGUUAUACUUCUUCACCAGUUUACCAGAGCACACAGAAUUAAAAAUGUUGUCUAGUUGGUACUAGAAAACUAAAACUGUUUCCAUCUAUGCAUAUUUUUAUUCUGUUUUUUUUUUUUUUAAUGUUGUUUUUGUUUUAGGGUAGGCAGUUCUGAAUAAUCCUGCCUGAUAACCUACUUACUCCCAGUGCCCAAGUACAUCCGAUGCUGCGACUUCUUGGACAAAACAAAAACUUUCUGCUGACUAAUGUCUCCACUUUGCCCCAACCUGCUGGAUGCUCUGGAAAGGAGUGAGUGAAGAGCAAAUGGCUGGCAUCAAGAUAUAAUAUGUCAGGAAUUCUACAGUGAAAAGGUCAACUUUAGCAGUCCUGCCCAAAAGGAUGGAUUAGAAAGGAAUCCAGGUUCUAAAUACUUCCUCUGGAAAACAAUAGACAUCAAACCAGCCCAUGUUCUGCUGUCUCUGCUGAGACAGCGUGCCAUCAAAAGCUCUUCCUCCACUUUCACAAAUGCCUUCCAAUUUUUUUGUAAAUUUUAUGUAAAAC